rnacentral:antisense_RNA from 1 species
UUGCAGGAAUUUAGCCAAUUCAGAGAUCUUGUUCUCCAUAAUUUGGAAUUUUCCUUCGGAUUUGAUCAAGUUGGAUAGAGUUGGUCAAACCCAAUGGGAAAAAGAUGAAAACAACAAGAAACAGAAACAAACAACAACAGCAACAACAACAAAAACAAGAGAAGGUGGGUCAGCCACUAAAUGGUGCUGGGACCUUGCAGUUUGGUGGGAAGGAGGAAGCUUACUCAAGCAAGGAAGAUGAGACAGGCAGAAACCCACGCAUAAGUCAA